rnacentral:rRNA from 1 species
UACGUAGGUGGCAAGCGUUGUCCGGAUUUACUGGGCGUAAAGCGCACGUAGGCGGCUUUGUAAGUUAGAGGUGAAAGCCUGGGGCUCAACUCCAGAACUGCCUUUAAAAACUGCAUCGCUUGAAUCCAGGAGAGGUGAGUGGAAUUCCGAGUGUAGAGGUGAAAUUCGUAGAUAUUCGGAAGAACACCAGUGGCGAAGGCGGCUCACUGGACUGGUAUUGACGCUGAGGUGCGAAAGCGUGGGGAGCAAACAGG